GACACUUUGGCCGAGUGGUUAAGGCGAUGCCCUGCUACUGGAAACCCCUAGAUAAGGCAUUACAUUCGUGUGCGCAGGUUCGAAUCCUGCAGGUGUCG
rnacentral:tRNA from 1 species